rnacentral:rRNA from 1 species
UGGCGGACGGGUGAGUAAUGUCUGGGAAACUGCCCGAUGGAGGGGGAUAACUACUGGAAACGGUAGCUAAUACCGCAUAAUGUCUGCGGACCAAAGCGGGGGACCUCCGGGCCUCGCGCCACCAGAUGAACCCAUAUGGGAUUAGCUUGUAGGUAAGGUAACGGCUUACCUAGGCGACGAUCCCUAGCUGGUCUGAGAGGAUGACCAGCCACACUGGAACUGAGACACGGUCCAG